GCUGCACGUAUCUUUGACGCCGUUACAUGUGCCGUUAAAUACGAACUACGCAACAUUAUGAUCGUGGUGUCGUUUCAUAGGCGGACACACUCGCCUAGCUUUCUUUUGACGAAAAAUGCAGACGGAUUGUAGCGAUCGCGCUUCAAUCGGUUUUGACUUAUGACUCUCGCCAUUUAAGGACGGCACAAUUGACGAUAGCCUUAGAAGGUCCAGCCAUUUCUCAGAAAACGUCUCUCCGAUUAAUUCUUGCAAGAGCUUCUCUUUCACGCCAUUGAUUGAAGUCGUCUCGACAGGCUGUUACGAACAGAGUUGGAGAACAGUUUGAAACGUGAUUACAUCUGCUGUUCUUAGCGCAGGCAAUUGUCUAGUGCGAGCGAUUGUGCUUCCGUUAGCGUUGGCUUCGCCGUUUCCAGACGUGAAUUAUCACGAGAGUAUGGCGUUGAUUUCGGUCAUGGCGUACAAGGCUGUUGAGCAUGUAAAGCAGGCAGGCGCGUUCGACGCAGCUAACGAGACCACCAGUGGCACGACCGGUAACGCCCUGAACGCAGAGGCCGCUGUUAACACACGUCGGUUGUAUAUGAAGAGAUAGCUGAGCACGCCUACAAAGAUUACGUAAUGGAGUCUCGAUUUGACGUCCUUGCGGUUGUCGCGAACGUGUCAGCAACUGUACCCCCGCCAGCUCGUUACAAUGGCAAAUUGAUGAACAGCAUUUGGGGUCUUUACAACAUGCACGCCUCGCAUGCUUUCCAGAAAAACAUCGAGCUCGCUCCAGGGGUGGCCCACCCCUCGGUGACCCAGAACGGCUCCAGAUUUUGAAAAACAAACUUAGUUCGCAGCGUGGAAAUCGCAUAAGGGGGCUUGCAGUUGGAGCAUAUGAAGGUUUGGGUUUCACGUAUCAGUCGCAAAAAAGAAAUGAUGUCGGCAAGCAGUAAGUUUCCGGUUUAAUUUCUAUCACUUACUUCUGGUCAUUGUCCGCUGCAAAAAUCGGUUGCCUUUGAAAAAGUCGUUCCGAGCUGUCCUCUUUCAUGUAGGCCAUCGGCAGGCCCAUGUCAGCUUGUUUCGGCUCCGAAACAUGCUCUCUAUUCUAGCUGCGUAUCUAACUUUCUAUAACUUAUUAUUAUUAUUAUUGAUUUACAUAAUAGUAAACAACUUCCUUAGCCAUUAACUCACUCAACAUAUCUGCCAGAAAUGGGAAAGCAAAAAGCUUUAGCAGGGUCGCUGCUUUAGUAUUUAGAUUGUUGAGGUACAAUUGAUAGGAUGACACGUAGCUCCAGGUAGAUAUUAUUCGACGUUUAGCAGUUCAAUGGAUUUAAGUAGGAUGAUUAUUCGCGAAACGGCGCUGAUGGCGUACAUUGCCUCACGCGAACACUCAUUUUAAAACCAGUAAUUUUUUUCCAAGUUUUGGCCUGUCGUUGACUCAUUGCCUUCAUGCGUUGGCACGACCGCUCGUUAGCUGGUUUCAAAUUAGGUAUGAUUUAAGGCUUAUUUUCGACAGUGAAUAUAUUUAUUGUUAGACAAUUGAAUUUCAAUUUUUUGGUUACACAAAAGUGUACUCUCGCUGUCUCAACUGAGGUAAAGCUUCAACCUUUCAGAAAUGACAGAUGACAGGGGAGGCCGUCGAGAGAAGUCAUCUAGGAGAAUCACAUAUAGGAAAAGGUUUCAACGCGUUGAAAGGAAGAAAACUGCGAACGAAAGAUCCGAAGAGCUUUCUCAAAACGAAACUGGGCUAGCUUCAACCGUUAUUAUCGGCUGAAGUAGAACAUCACUCUUCAUUCACUUAGACAUUUUCCGCCUCGGGCUCACCCGAAGCCCGUUCCUAGCUUUUUAAAACAAAUGAAAAACGAACAAACAUACGUUUUACGCAAAAUCUCUCUAAGUGAAGAUAACGAUUUGAAGUCAUUAACAUGUCGAAGCAACUAUUCUCAAAACAGGACAAAAGUUCGCUAGAAACCGGUCAAAGUUUAAAUAUCCACAGUUACCCACAUCUUGUUUUUAAAUUACUAAAUUUCAUAAAAGCUUUAUUCUUGAAUAGUUUUUUUUGUUUUUUGUUUUUUUUUUUUUUCGCACAUAACGGCAGCAGUUGAUCAAUAGACUCAAAAAAAAAUAGGGGUGCCAUAUAAAAACUGGUAGACACGUUAGGCUGUGAGAUGCCAUCGCGUCCGUUCUUCUACAAGGCUAUUACAAUAUCUACAUAAUCUUAUAACAUCAGGUAGCUGUCUUGGGGGUUGCCCAAGGACACGGUCCCCUUUGUCCAUAAAGAAAAGUAUACUAUUGAUACAUAAACAAACAAUUGUAAUAAUACCAAUAUUACCAUGUUGCUGGCUUGCUUUAUACGCUAGGAGUGCGAGAAGAAUAACAACGAAAUCCAGCUAUUUCGGUAACACGUGCAGAGGGUUGCGGUUAUUACGUAGCAUCGUUAUAAAUCGUAAGUACCAGGCUGGACCUUCUGAGUCAUCACUGAGUGGGACAUCUGUACCAGAAUCGUAAUCGUUGAGAUCAAUAAAGCACAAUCAUGUGCCCAGUUUGACUGUUCAAUUUGU